rnacentral:lncRNA from 1 species
GGAUCUGUACAUUUCAUUUGAAUAUUUGCAAUCACAUGCAAGUUGUGCCCGGGUGCUCUGUAUCUUGAAGGCAGAAAUCUUUACAGCACUAACUAAGACAUGUUAUUCACUACUCUAGAAGUAACAAAUGGAUUGAUUUAUCCAGAGACAGCUGCUCAGCCUUGUAAAGUCUCUUCUGCUCCAGUAAACAAGAGGUUAAAAACCUGGAAGCACUGAACCCAAAGAAAUUGAAGUCUAUGGUUUUCCUACUCUGAAUGGUGGGCAUGUGGCGAGAGCUGACAGACUGGAUGUAGUUGAGAAGGAAUUCUCCUGCAUGGUCAAUUUUUAUGUUAUUGUAUUUUCUGUUUACAUUUAUUUUCUUCUUCAAGCAUCAAAUGAAAGUCAUUAUAGUCAGAGAUUUCAUCACUGGGUGUGGGUUGGAGGCCAAUUGACUUUCUGAUAUGUUCUUUUUUUUCAGCAGUCAGCUAAAAUAUGCUGGUUUGAGGGGUACGUGUAAGAAAUGAUUUGAGGCCAGGCUCUCAGAAGAAAACUGAGUUCACUUGUGUUCAUCAAUGAUUUAUAGCUGCUUGAAUCAGAACUAGCUUCCCUGCAAAGCUAUACUUAGAGUUAGGCCAAUUGAGUCUGACAGGGGAGAAUCUCAAAUUAUUGAUGAAAGGACUAAGGACUACAUUUGAGAAGUUUAUUCUUUUGGUGUGGUUUCUGAUGUGCAUGCAACUGACUCACCCGGCACAUUUAGCACCCUGCAGCUUUUUCUAGUCCCAAACACAAGCAUUCUAGGUGGCUGUGUGGAGUACAACACAAAGAAUUCCCAGUUGUCUUUCCUAACACUACAGAGAAAUCUUUACAUUUGUGAUUUAAAGAAAUCAUUAAAGAAAAUUUUUGCUUCUGUAGGAUACCUUCACUGGGACUCAAGAUGUGUUCCUAGUCUUUCUACUCACAAAGAUUCCUGA